UUCGGCGGUCAUAGCGAGAGGGAAACACCCGGUCCCAUUCCGAACCCGGAAGUUAAGCCUCUCAGCGUCGAUGGUACUGCACGGGUCACC
rnacentral:rRNA from 1 species